rnacentral:rRNA from 1 species
UACGUAGGGUCCGAGCGUUGUCCGGAAUUACUGGGCGUAAAGAGCUCGUAGGUGGUUUGUCGCGUUGUUCGUGAAAACUCACAGCUCAACUGUGGGCGUGCGGGCGAUACGGGCAGACUUGAGUACUGCAGGGGAGACUGGAAUUCCUGGUGUAGCGGUGAAAUGCGCAGAUAUCAGGAGGAACACCGGUGGCGAAGGCGGGGUCUCUGGGGCCGAUACUGACGCUGAGGAGCGAAAGCGUGGGGAGCGAACAGG